UAUAACAUUAUUCUUCGUUGUCGAAUUGUCAAAUGUCGUCGUACUUUGCAUUCGGUUCGAAACUGUGCUACGUAUGUGAAUUUCGGUUUUGAACGAGUAUAAUCGUAUGUGUAGAAAAUAGUACACUAAGCAAAGACCGCAAUAAAGAGGUGUUAAGAAGAGUACACAAAGCGUGCGAAUCGGAUUUUGAACUGUGUGAAACUCGGCGAAUAGACGUUACUCUAUAAUGGCGCCGAAAUCCAGAAAGAAGAAGGCACAUGAUGUAUCUGACCUUGAUCUUGAUGAAGUAUCAGCUCUAAAAAUGGAAAAUGAACUACUAAGACAGUUAAAUUUAGAGCUACAGGAACGAAAUAAAUUACUGAACAACCUGGUGGAAAAAGGGAAUUUAUUAAGUGAUGUAAGAAUUUCAUAUGCUGACAUUGCUAAAGGACAUACUAAUAUUAAUGAAAGAGUACCUAAAAUAUUAGUUAAAGCUAAAAAUAAUGAUAAUGGUGAAACUCUGAAAAAAGUAAAAAUGAAAUUAACAAGUGAUCUAACAAUACCAAUCAACAACGUUCGUAAAAAUAAUGAUGGGCUUGUUUCUGUUAAAUGUAAAAACACAAAUGAUAUACAAAGAGUUAAAUCGGUCUUAAGGGAAAAACUGGGUGGUGAUUAUUGUGUUGACUUGGAGCAUCUUAAUUUUCCUAAAAUAAAGGUUACUAAUGUGGAAAAUUAAUUAAACAAAGAAGAAUUAUGCGAGGAUAUAUGUAAUAGGAAUUUCCCAGAUAUUGAUGGCGCUUUCAACAUCAUCGCGGACUACAGGAACAAAGCUGGAAUCCGGUCAUUGAUACUCGAGCUAACCUCUGAGUCAUACCUACAUCUAAAAAAUUGCGGAUUUAAAUUAUACAUUGGUUAUCAAUGCUGCCAAGUAUAUGAUUUUUUUAAUUUUAAUUUAUGCUAUAAAUGCGGAAGAUCAAACCACAAACAAAAAAAUUGUAAGAAUGAGGUUAAAUGUCUUAGGUGUGCGGGUGAUCAUUUAACUAACACCUGUAAAAGUACUAACAUAAACUGUCUCAACUGCGUGUACUAUAAUGAAAAAUAUCGGAAAAACCGCCCAACUAAUCAUUGUGCUAUGGAUACACGUUGUAAAUAUAUCUCUAAUAGUCUAAAUAAAAUAAUAAACAAUACUGAUUAUCCGGUGAAACCAUCGAUACCAAAGUCACUAUGUAAAAUUGGAAAUUGGUCUUUACAAACAACCGAUGAUUGAUAAAGAAGAAAUGCAGAUUGAAGAAAUUUUUACUGAUUUAUAUAAUUUAAAUAAUACGUUACCUAAUAACAAUUUCUUUAUGGUUCACCUAAAUGUUAGAAGUCUAAAUACAAAUUUCAACAAAUUAGAGUUAUUUAUUGAACAUCUUGUAAUAAAACCAGAUAUUAUUGUCUGUACGGAGACUUGGCUCCUUUCUUGUUAUACUUUUUUGAAAUGAAUGAUUAUAAUAUUUUCUAUAAUAGUAGCAAUAAUAAUAGAGCUGAUGGCGUUGUAUUAUAUAUUAAAAAAAAUUUUAAAACAUGAUGUUGAGAUAGAUGUAAUUGAUAACGUGAAAAUUAUCUCAACGAUAAUAAAAUUGAAGGGUAAUAAAAAUCUUAAAAUAUCGGGUAUAUAUAGAUGUCAAGACAUUCCUAAAGAAAACUUUAUAGAUGCAAUAACUAAAUUUUUAGACAUAAACAAGCAUGGGAACAAUCAUUUUCUAGUUGGGGAUUUUAACAUCAAUUUAUUAAAUUCUGAUAUUGCUACAAAUGAAUAUUUAAAUAAUCUAUUAGAUCGUGGCUAUAUACCAUAUUUCAAUGGUGUAACCAGACCUAAUGACUUAGGGGGUACUUGUAUCGAUAACAUUUUUGUUAUAUCAAAUAUUGAGAAAUCAGAUCCUUUACUUAUGCCAAUGUUUUUACAGAUCAUUAUCCUAUUUUUGUUGCUCUUGAUUUGUUCCCUAUAAAGUCUAUGCUUAAAGAAACCUAUUUCAUAAACCACAAUCUUAUAAAAGUAAAUAGUAGUUUACAUGAUUGGUCUCAUAUGCUCGAUAUAAAAGAUCCAGAAGAUUUUUUAAAACUUCUGAUUGAAAAUAUAAAGAAUAUUAUUGAUGUUUUAAGAUCCAAAGUAAAUAAAACUAAAAACAAUAACAAACCGAGGAGUAAAUGGAUAACUAAAGGUAUUAUAAAAUCAUGUAAAACAAAAGAAACUUUAUACAGACUAUGGAACUAUGGAUAGAAAUAAUGUAAAAUUAAAAUCUGAAUAUAACGCAUACUGUAAAAUACUAAAGAGAGUUAUAACACUUGCCAAAAAUAACUACGAAAGUAAAUAUGUUAAAAAAAUAUCCAAGGAUAGUAAAAAAAUGUGGCAAUACGUUAACACGAAAAUAGGUAAAAAAAACUAAAGCAACGCCUGUACUGGAUUAUCUAGUAUGUAAUGAUGAAAUCAUAUCCGAUAACCAGGUUAUUGCUGAUGAGUUUAUAACUUUCUUUAGUAAUAUUGGAGUUGAAUUAGCUAAUAAAAUUGAUAAACUAUCGAUUGACACAAAUAAAAAUGUUAAGCAUAACCCCAAUAGUAUGUUUCUUACUCCAACUAGUUAUACUGAAAUUGAAAAAAUCAUAAAAGAAAUGAAAGAUAAAUCGGGUGGUGUAGACGGCAUUAGCAGUAAGAUUUUAAAAAUUAUAGCCAAAGAUAUUAGUAUACCUUUAGAGCAUAUUUUCAAUAUAUGUAUAAAUAAAGCUAUUUGGCUCUCUGUAUUUAAAAAAGCUGAUAUUAUACCUAUACAUAAAUCCGGGGACAAACACUUAGCAAACAACUAUCAGCCUAUUUCUCUAAUAUCAAACCUUGCUAAAAUAUUCGAGAAAAUAAUAUAUAUCCGAUUUUAUGAUUUCUGUAGGAAAAAUAGUUUAAUUUCUCCGAACCAAUUUGGAUUUAUAAAAAGUAGAGGUACCAGUGAUGCUUUAACUCUUACAUCAGAUUUUAUUUAUAAAAAUAUUGAUAAAAAUGUACCAUCUGUCCUAGUCUUUCUAGACCUAGCUAAAGCGUUCGAUACUGUAAAUCACGAAAUACUACUAGAUAAGAUCUGGAGGCUUGGGAUUAGAGGAAUACCUCACCAAUUACUUAAAAACUACCUUUACGAAAGGGAACAAUGUGUAAAAAUUAAUAAUUGUAUUAGUACAAAAACUAAUGUAAAAGUUGGUUUGCCACAAGGCACAAUAUUGGGUCCUUUGCUGUUUAUCAUGUAUAUAAAUGACAUCUUCAAUACUCUACCGGAAAUGGCUCUCGUAGCCUAUGCUGAUGAUACUGCAGUGCUUUGCUCUGGUAAAAAUUGGAAUGAAGUUAAAACACGACUGAAUAGAUGGUUGGAGAUAAUAAAUAAAUGGCUACGAAGUAAUCAAUUAUCUCUUAACAUAGACAAGUCAACACAAAUCACUUUUGGCAGUUAUUGUGAUAGUAUACCUGUCAAUUAUAUACUAAAUAUAAACAACAGAGAACUCACAAGAGUAGAUCACAGCAAAUAUCUGGGUCUGUACUUUGAUACACAUAUGAAAUGGAAUUUUCAUGUGAACGAGCAGGCCAAAAAAGUCAGAUACUUUGCUUUCCUCUUUUUCAAAUUGAGUAAAUGGGUUGACAUAAAAAUCUUAAAAACUAUAUACUAUGGACUUUUCGAAAGUGUAAUCAAUUACGGAAUAAUUGCCUGGGGUGGAGCCUACAAAAAUGCUCUGCAGCCUAUAACAAAUAUGCAAAACCGUUUAUUAAAGUUCUUUGAAAACAAUUAUGAAACUAAUUUGCCACUUGACAUCAAGAAAACUUUUAUUGUUAAGGCUAUUAUAUUACAAUACUAUGAAAAGUGUAAAUCAAAAUAUCUUACUAAACAAGUACUAAACAGGUACAAACUAGAGCUAACACUCUAACAUUACCAAAAAUUAAAAAGUCAAUUAGCAUUAAAAAUGCAUAUUAUAUAGCAAUUAAGUUCUUUAACAUGCUUCCUAAUAAAUUGAAGAUUCUAACAUGUAAUAAAAAAUCUCUUAACAAAAAUCUAAAAUCCUGGAUAAAUAACUUAUCAAUAUAGUAAAUUUUAGCUAUAUAUUAAGUGAUUAAUUUUUGCUCUUACUUGGUAUAAUUUAUAAUUUAUAUGUAUAACUUUGUCACGCAAUAUUUAGUAUAAUAUACUAUUAUCCAUGCUAGAAUAUUUAUAAUAUUAGGAAAUAAGUUGUUAAAUAUAUUGUAUUUGUAAUGCCCUGGUUCUAUGCACAGAUGUUAAACAUCUCUAUAGACUUGUACCAGAUGAAAUAAAUAAAUAAAUGCUGAUGGGAACAUGCCUGAUUCCAAUGACACACUAAAUAGGUGGCUCUGCGAGUCCAGCUGCGCAGUUUCUCAAGAACUGAUUAGGCAGUUUAUCAGGACCAGCGCCUUUUUUGGAAUCAAGUUUCCUCAAUUGUUUGUACACGUCAUUGUAUGAUACAGUUAAUUUAGAAAGAUUUACGUCAUGUCUUGAGGUACGACUAGGACUUGUUGAAGUCUGGUUGUUGUUGAUGUCGUGAAGAUAAGUGCUUUUGAAGAAGGAGGCAAUCAAAUCGCUGACUUUCUGUCCGUUGUCAGCAGUAACGUCGUUCCAGUGAACUGUAGAUGGGAUGUCAGUGUCACUUAUUCUUCUGUUCUUGACGAAGCUCCAAAAACUGCUGGCAAUUUUUUUUAUCAUAUGUUCAGUUUUAGUUAAGUAGACUUUGUAACACUUUUCAUUAAUGUUUUUACACUCACGCCGAAGUCUGCGAAAAACGUUGUAGUUAUAACGAGAUUUAGUUUUUUUAUAUCUAGUGUGUGCUGCUUUUUUUUUUUGAUUUUAUAAAUCAAUUCAUUUGAAAACCACGUGGGAUAAUUAUUAGACUUUUUGUAGCGGGUAGGGACGUAUCGAUCACUUCAUUUAAUUUUUCAUAAAACCAGGUAAUUUUAACAUCCAAGGCUGUAAUUUGAUACAAUUCUAUCCAGUUGCUGGACAUAAAAAAUUCAUUCAACCCAAUGUAGUCUGCUUCGUUGAAUAUCAGUCUGAGAGAAGUAUUUUUCUUGAGAUUAGCUUGGAUAUCAGCAUGUAUUUCCAAUGCUGGAUGAUGAUAGUCUUCAUUGAUGAGUGGGUCUGCUCUGCUGACUAUAACAUUAGUAUCGCUAAAACAAAGAUCAAGAAUUUUUUUAUUGCUGUUGUAGUUUGAAUUAAAUUGUUGACAAUUAACCAGAGACAUUUCGUUAUACAAUACAUUUUCGCAGAGUGCUUGAGGAUAACUGCUGGGCAAAUUAAAAUCACCAACCGAGAGUAAUUUACAAUUAGGAUACUUAUAUUUUAAGAACGAUAUUUGUAUGGCUGAUAUAGGAAUCAAGUGGCGAUAGGGGCGGUAGAUAGGUGCACCCGACUAUGGGGUCGCUGUUAGUACAUUUUACUUUAAUGAAUAACUGCUCAAUUGCAUCUUCGCUAUGUUCGAUUAGUUCAGCUGCGAGGUAUUUUUUUACUGCAAUUAACACACCACCACUGCGCUCACUACUUAGUUUAUUUCUAUCCUUCCGGAAAAGCGUGAAGGUAUUGUCUGUAACCUCCCCAGAGGAGAUGGAGUCAUUUAACCAAGUUUCACUUAUGCAAAUUAUAUCACUACUGCAGCAGGCUGAUGAGGUUAAGAAGUGUUUAAGUUUAGUUCUUAAACCUCUAGUGUUUUGGUAAUAAAUAUUUAACUUAGUUUUCUUUGUUUUUAUUUUUCUCUUUUGAUGAACGAAAAUUUGGUUUAUUGACGAUCAUAGGUAUGCCAUUUAUAUAUUUUAUGGUUUUAUUAGUAAUACCACUUUGGGUGAUUUGAUCUAGUUCUGCACGGACAGUGUUUAAGUGGAGUUGCUGAGCCUGAGUUAAACUAGGCUUAAAUUUGAUAUCAGAGUUAUCAGCUGGUUUCGACUUUAGGAUAGUUCUUGCAGCUGUGACAGUAGGUGCGUGGAGUAGGACUGGACGAGUUUUACCUUGGGUAGGUUUACCAAGACGUCGUAAAUUGAUGCUGGGGAUGAUAUCUGACAAUUCUUGAUGUAUUAUCGCCGCAAUUUUAUCAAUAUCGUCUUGGCGACGGUCGGCGCCAACUGGUUUUACAGAUUCCGGGACGUUGAGUAUCACUACCUGGGAUUCACGCUUUUUACGCUCAUUAAUUUCAGCGAUAACACUAUUAGGAUCAUCAGGGAAGUUCCUAAGAGAUGCAAGUUUGUUUUCAACAUCUGUCAAUCUCUUAUCAAGUUUCUUUUGCUGCUGGGCAAAGCUUUUGUUUUGCUCGGAGUAUAUAUUUAAAUCAGUACGGAUACCUGUUAUACUCUGUUCAAUAUUCCUCAUUUGUUUUGUAAGAGAAGAUAAGUAUUUGGCAAGAAUUUUCUCGAGAUAAUUUUUGUUGAUGGACAUUGCGUGGGAAUUAUUGUCCCCAUCAAACGCAGCGUCACCUUCUAUAAUGCUAGCCUCAAAAACACAGUCAGCACAUUUCCAGCUAGUUGAACCUUUUCUCCGGAACUCAGCUAGCUAAACAUUAUACUCCGAGUCACUUAACUUACUACACAUUUUGUGAAACCAAUUUUUACACUCACAGCAACCGCUACAACUAGAAUUCGCUAUAAUUGGUUUAGCACAACUUUCACACAUGUGUUUACUUUCCGCCAUCUUUAUAUCAUUAUAUAUAUAUAAUUGUUAAAAAUAUUAUUUAAGACUUUUGAAUACAUUUUAACGAACCGUCAAUCAGCCGUGAUGUGGUGAGAACGAAUGUUUUUACAGUGUCGGAAAUAAAAGAAAUGUGGAAUAUUGGUAAAAUACUAAAAAAUUUCGACCCUCGCGAAUUUCAUUUGCGGAAGAGGAAGGUUUAAUUUUAAAACGAAAACUAUACCGUAUCCAUACCGUAUGACGCUGUCGAUAUGCGAGAAUAGCACGGUUGGAGUUUUCCGAUGACGGAAAGGUGCCUUUCGUAUACGAACUGCGGUGUCGAGGUCGAACGGUAGAUGGUUUGAGAACAUCAAAAUACCACUGCCUUAAGUGUUCUAUUUAAUAUAUGUGUAUGCAUUACAUUAGUCGCAUGCGGAGCUCUGAAAAAACAGGUUUAUCAGGGAGCCGAUUUUAUUCAGCGCUACCAUAUGUGACUGGUAUAAUUACUGCCGCGAAGACGGCAUCAUCAGGUAACGGUAGGUAAAAUUGGCGGCCCUGAUAAAAUUGUUCAAAUAGACAAAAGUCAAUUGGGGAAACGUGAAUACAACAAAGACGGAGAGCGGAAGGCCACUGGAAGUGUGUUCCGAAAACGUGGGGUCUACAGAAGUGAUACUACCCUUGAUAAAGAGACACGUGGCACAAGGUACCAUAAUAUGUACUGAUUGCUGGAAGGCGUAUGACUUCCUGACCAAUCACAGGUAUGAGCAUGGAUGCGUAAAUCAUAACGAACCAGAUCAUCCGUUUGUUGCAGAAUAUGGAGCCCAUACUCAACGAAUAGAGUCCCAGUGGCGCGUUAUUAAACGUUUUAUUAUUUAAGAUAAUUAUACCAAUAGUAAAGAUUUUUCUAAUUUAAUUGAUAAAUACAUAUAGAGAAAAAAUACUGCAAAUCAGCAGCUAGAUCUAUUUGAAAAAUGCAAUAAAUAUUGUUAGAUGCAAUAAAACAUACUUACUUAAUAAAA